AACGAACGCUGGCGGCAGGCUUAACACAUGCAAGUCGAGCGCCCCGCAAGGGGAGCGGCAGACGGGUGAGUAACGCGUGGGAACAUACCCUUUCCUGCGGAAUAGCUCCGGGAAACUGGAAUUAAUACCGCAUAAGCCCUACGGGGGAAAGAUUUAUCGGGGAAGGAUUGGCCCGCGUUGGAUUAGCUAGUUGGUGGGGUAAAGGCCUACCAAGGCGACGAUCCAUAGCUGGUCUGAGAGGAUGAUCAGCCACAUUGGGACUGAGACACGGCCCAAACUCCUACGGGAGGCAGCAGUGGGGAAUCUUUCGCAAUGGGGGCAACCCUGACGCAGCCAUGCCGCGUGAAUGAUGAAGGCCUUAGGGUUGUAAAGUUCUUUUGCCCGUGACGAUGAUGACGGUAACGGGAGAAUAAGCUCCGGCUAACUUCGUGCCAGCCGCCGCUGUAAUAC
rnacentral:rRNA from 1 species